GACGAAUGCUGGCUGCGUGCUUAACACAUGCAAGUCGAACGGUGAAGGGGAGCUUGCUCCCCGGAUCAGUGGCGAACGGGUGAGUAACACGUGGGCAACCUGCCCCUCACUCUGGGAUAACUCCGGGAAACCGGGGCUAAUACCGGAUACGACCUGGUGCGACAUCGCACCGGGUGGAAAGAACUUCGGUGAGGGAUGGGCCCGCGGCCUAUCAGCUUGUUGGUGGGGUAACGGCCCACCAAGGCGACGACGGGUAGCCGGCCUGAGAGGGCGACCGGCCACACUGGGACUGAGACACGGUCCAGACUCCUACGGGAGGCAGCAGUGGGGAAUUUUGGACAAUGGGCGCAAGCCUGAUCCAGCAAUGCCGCGUGAGUGAAGAAGGCCUUCGGGUUGUAAAGCUCUUUUGUCAGGGAAGAAACGGUAGGGGCUAAUAUCCCUUGCUAAUGACGGUACCUGAAGAAUAAGCACCGGCUAACUAC
rnacentral:rRNA from 1 species